rnacentral:rRNA from 1 species
ACAGUGUCUGGUGGGUAGUUUGACUGGGGCGGUCUCCUCCUAAAGAGUAACGGAGGAGCACGAAGGUUGGCUAAUCCUGGUCGGACAUCAGGAGGUUAGUGCAAUGGCAUAAGCCAGCUUGACUGCGAGCGUGACGGCGCGAGCAGGUGCGAAAGCAGGUCAUAGUGAUCCGGUGGUUCUGAAUGGAAGGGCCAUCGCUCAACGGAUAAAAGGUACUCCGGGGAUAACAGGCUGAUACCGCCCAAGAGUUCAUAUCGACGGCGGUGUUUGGCACCUCGAUGUCGGCUCAUCACAUCCUGGGGCUGAAGUAGGUCCCAAGGGUAUGGCUGUUCGCCAUUUAAAGUGGUACGCGAGCUGGGUUUAGAACGUCGUGAGACAGUUCGGUCCCUAUCUGCCGUGGGCGCUGGAGAAUUGAGGGGGGCUGCUCCUAGUACGAGAGGACCGGAGUGGACGCAUCACUGGUGUUCGGGUUGUCAUGCCAAUGGCACUGCCCGGUAGCUAAAUGCGGAAGAGAUAAGUGCUGAAAGCAUCUAAGCACGAAACUUGCCCCG